UACGAAGGGGCUAGCGUUGCUCGGAAUCACUGGGCGUAAAGCGCACGUAGGCGGAUUGCUAAGUCAGGGGUGAAAUCCUGGAGCUCAACUCCAGAACUGCCUUGAUACUGGCGAUCUCGAGUCCGGGAGAGGUGAGUGGAACUGCGAGUGUAGAGGUGAAAUUCGUAGAUAUUCGCAAGAACACCAGUGGCGAAGGCGGACUCACUGGCCCGGUACGUG
rnacentral:rRNA from 1 species